rnacentral:rRNA from 1 species
AUUGAACGCUGGCGGCAGGCCUAACACAUGCAAGUCGAGCGGAUGAAGGGAGCUUGCUCCUGGAUUCAGCGGCGGACGGGUGAGUAAUGCCUAGGAAUCUGCCUGGUAGUGGGGGAUAACGUCCGGAGACGGGCGCUAAUACCGCAUACGUCCUGAGGGAGAAAGUGGGGGAUCUUCGGACCUCACGCUAUCAGAUGAGCCUAGGUCGGAUUAGCUAGUUGGUGGGGUAAAGGCCUACCAAGGCGACGAUCCGUAACUGGUCUGAGAGGAUGAUCAGUCACACUGGAACUGAGACACGGUCCAGACUCCUACGGGAGGCAGCAGUGGGGAAUAUUGGACAAUGGGCGAAAGCCUGAUCCAGCAAUGCCGCGUGUGUGAAGAAGGUCUUCGGAUUGUAAAGCACUUUAAGUUGGGAGGAAGGACAGUAAGUUAAUACCUUGCUGUUUUGACGUUACCAACAGAAAAAGCACCGGCUAACUUCGUG